CUUUUCCUAGUAGUGGCGAGGCUUGACAAACAUACUUGUUCUCUUGAUUGAACAUGACCAAGACCUAAAAUGAUUUUGAUUUGUGCUCUUGUAGGUUAAAUCAAUCUCUGUCAAUACGAAAUUGUCAUAGCUGAACAUGAUCAGGACCUCAGGAGGACAGGGUUAUUACUUUGGAGUUUCAGAACUCGUACUUGGUUUACGGGGUUAACAAUUGGGUCCAUGUUUCAGCGACAUUGUACAAGUGUGUUUGCUUAGCUGGAUUUCUGCCCUCAUUUUCUAUUUCACAUCCCCCAGUCAUUUUUUGCAGAUUCGAUUUGGUCAUAUUAUAUAUUCUUAAACCACAAAGUUUCAAGCCAAUAAUCAUUCUUUAUGGUGAUUUAAACUGUACUCCUUAGAAAAUUGACAUUCAUAAUCCGCUGGUAAGUUCUCGUUCAUCCGUGGAACUUCUCAGCCAAAAUGUUCUUUUUAUAAUUUUCAGCCAAAAUAUUAUAUCCUUAUGUUCACAGUUCAUCAUUGGUUGUUACAGAAUUUCCUCCGUAUGAAAUAUUCCACAUUGAACAUAACUUGUUUGAACAUGUAUGGUUCUUUAUUUCAUAUAAAAUAUGAAGCUAACAAAAAAAUGGUCCAUACAUUGGUGCAUAAUCCAACUUGUGAAUUCUGUGAAGAUAGCAUUUCAGAACAGCAUUGAUAGUUUCCAACUUGCCAUGCUUUAGGAUCAGAUAGAAGUAUAGGACAUGAAUGAUCUAAAUUAAAUUCAUGACCAAUGUACAUAGUGAGAGCCAGAGAAUAAUAUUUCUCAGUAAAUAUGAAUGGUUAAGUUAAAACUGAACAUGACUACAAAGAAAACUGAAUUGCCAUUGCCAGUAUUGUUAAUAACAAUCAACAAAAAAAUGUCAUCGAGGAGGUCUAUGGCCCGGGUGUCGAGGCGCUUGUCAGGGACGAGGACCAGCCUGACCUCAAGAAGUCCAUCGUCGCACUACCCCGCAUCUUGAAGUUCAAGGUCGGCACCCCAGCGGGCACAACCUCCACCCAUGCAUCUACCAGGAUCAAUUCUCUGUCGCAAUCAUCCUACCUGCUGCCAGCUCCCCCUCGUACGCCCUGAUCUCCUCGUGUGCUGGUACAUUCAUCAUACAAGAAGGACUUAACAUGACGCAUGCAAGGUUAUACUAAAACUAUCACACCAAAGGCGAGGAUCCUUGAUCUCCACCAUAGCGAUGAAGCCAGUGUCGGAGUCGCCGUCUUCGCCAAGGAUAGUCACAAUGACGGAAAGAUCCAUGGGAGCAAGAAGAGGGAGGACAACAUAUUUUAGGACCGUGAUGCGAGUAUUAAAGAAAUGUAUAAAUGCAUGGGCAAUAUGUUGCUAUUUCAUGACAUAUGUGCUUAUUAAUUGAACAUUCUGAUA